rnacentral:rRNA from 1 species
CCUGCCGGCGACCGGCGCACGGGUGAGUAACACGUAUGCGACCUGCCCCCGCAGGGGGAUAACCGGGAGAAAUCCGACUAAUACCGCGUAACGCCNCGGGGCUGCAUGGCCCCGGCGGCCAAGGAAGCGAUUCCGGCGGGGAUGGGCAUGCGGCGCAUUAGCUAGUCGGCGGGGUAACGGCCCACCGAGGCGACGAUGCGUAGGGGUUCUGAGAGGAAGGUCCCCCACACUGGUACUGAGACACGGACCAGACUCCUACGGAAGGCAGCAG